UACGGCUCCAAAGCCGAGCCAGCCUGAAGUUGUUUUAAGUGACGUUGAAAAAUCUCCAGUAGAACAGUUCCCAAGAGCUGAAAGAGUUUCAGUCAACAGUUAUAAGAGU
rnacentral:lncRNA from 1 species